GGCCUAUUUCUUGUAAACAGUCUAUAAUCUCCAAAAGGGUGGGACUGGGUCUGUUUGGCUCACCACUGGCCACUCAGUGUACAGCACAUGGCCACACACAGUAGGUGCUUCAUGAAUAUUAACUGCAUAAAAAAUAAAUGGAUGGGCCAGGUGUGGUGGCUCACACCUGUAAUCCCAGCACUUUGGGAGGCCGAGGCGGGUGGGUCACCUGAGGUCAGGAGUUUGAGAUCAGCCUGGCCAACAUGGUGAAACUCUAUCUCUACUAAAAAUACAAAAAUUAGCUAGGUGUGGUGGCAUAUGCCUGUAGUCCCAGCUACUUGGGAGGCGGAGGCGGGAGAAUCACUUGAACCUGGGAGGCGGAGGUUGUGGUGAGCUGAGAUUGCAUCACUGCACUCCAGCCUGGGUGACAGAGUGAGACUCCAUCUCAAAAAAUAAAAAAAUAAAAAUAAUAAAUAAAUAAAUAAAUGGAUGAAGAGAGAAAUGAACGACAGCAACUACUAAAUUCCAAUCUUAG
rnacentral:lncRNA from 1 species